UCGAGCCACCCGACUAUGGCUGACACUGGGCCCCCCCAAGAAGCUACCUCGCUGGGUCCUCUGUUACAAAGGCCAAUGUCCUAAAGGGUGUAAAGGAAGUCAAUCAAUAACAACCAGUUAACGUUCACUGAGAACUCCCAGGUGUUGGGCUUCAGUGCUUUAUUAACAUAUUUAAUCCUGACAAUACCCCAGUCAAAGAGAUCCUCCAGUUAUGGCCUUCGCCAAGGCCUAGAGAAAUGCAGUGAUCUUCCCAGGUCACUAGUGCAGCACACAAUCAGGAUGCAGACCUGCACUCUGAGGGCUUCUGUGCCUCAGCCACCAUUGUAGCCUCAGGGGAGGGCACGAAGGGCCCGGUUCAGAGGUGUAACCAGCUCUCCGUGGUUGUGGCCUAUGUGGAUGGAAAGUCACCAACAGCCUGGAGCGGUCCAUCUAGGCAACUAAUUUCUAAAGCAGCAGAGUCUCAGGCUGCACAAGAAAACUGCGAAAGAACCAGGCUUUGGGAGAGAAUCCGUGAGGACUUGCUAUCCCACUGCAAAGACCUGUUAAAGCAUGCUGGAUUCAGAGGCUCCAGCACUCAACCCUUCGGGGAGGCACUUCCAAAAGUAAUCACCCUAUGCUUCACGCUUGAGACCACCGCUCACAGAAGGAUGGGCAUGGCUGUGCUCCGGCCAGUGCGGAGGGCACACCCAAGUGCCUUGUGGUAACAUGCCAGGCUCUCAAAUGGGAGUAAAAAUUAGUAAACUGUUACCCAGUUUUUCCUUUGA